UACAUAACCAUGGAGUUGGCUGU
rnacentral:miRNA from 1 species